GAUGAAGAACGUAGCGAAAUGCGAUACGUAAUGUGAAUUGCAGAAUUCAGUGAAUCAUCGAAUCUUUGAACGCAUAUUGCGCUCUCUGGUGUUCCGGAGAGCAUGCUUGUUUGAGUAUCAGUAAACACCUCAACUCCCUUUUCUUUUUUGAAAUUGGAGCUGGACUUGAGUGAUCCCAACGCUUUCUUCCAAGAAAGUGGCGGGUUGCUUGAAAUGCAGGUGCAGCUGAACUUUUCUCUGAGCUAUAAGCAUAUCUAUUUAGUCUGCCUAAAAAACAGAUUAUUACCUUUGCUGCAGCUAACAUAAAGGAGACUAGUUCUUGUGCUGACUGAUGCAGGAUUCACAGAGACAGCUUCGGCUGACUUUGUAAACUCGAUCUCAAAUCAAGUAAGACUACCCGCUGAACUUAAGCAUAUCAAUAAGCGGAGGA
rnacentral:misc_RNA from 1 species